rnacentral:rRNA from 1 species
UACGUAGGGCGCAAGCGUUGUCCGGAAUUAUUGGGCGUAAAGAGCUCGUAGGCGGUUUGUCGCGUCUGCUGUGAAAACCUAAGGCUCAACCUUGGGCUUGCAGUGGGUACGGGCAGACUAGAGUGCGGUAGGGGUGACUGGAAUUCCUGGUGUAGCGGUGAAAUGCGCAGACAUCAGGAGGAACACCGGUGGCGAAGGCGGGUCUCUGGGACGGUACUGACGCUGAGACGCGAAAGCGUGGGGAGCGAACAGG